rnacentral:misc_RNA from 1 species
UGGUUCUGGCAUNGAUGAAGAACGCAGCGAAAUGCGAUAAGUAAUGUGAAUUGCAGAAUUCAGUGAAUCAUCGAAUCUUUGAACGCACAUUGCGCCCCUUGGUAUUCCGAAGGGCAUGCCCGUUCGAGCGUCAUUAACACCAUCAAGCCUGGCUUGGUUUUGGGCCCUGCCGGUAAUACGGCUGGCCUUAAAGACAGUGGCGGGUGCCAUCUGGCUCUAAGCGUAGUAAUACUCCUCGCUAUUGAGUUGGGCGGUCCUCUGCUAGCACAAGAUAAAACUCAAAGGUUGACCUCGGAUCGGGUAGGGAUACCCGCUGA